rnacentral:rRNA from 1 species
AGAUUGAACGCUGGCGGCAGGCCUAACACAUGCAAGUCGAGCGGCAGCACGGGUACUUGUACCUGGUGGCGAGCGGCGGACGGGUGAGUAAUGCCUAGGAAUCUGCCUGGUAGUGGGGGAUAACGCUCGGAAACGGACGCUAAUACCGCAUACGUCCUACGGGAGAAAGCAGGGGACCUUCGGGCCUUGCGCUAUCAGAUGAGCCUAGGUCGGACUAGCUAGUUGGUGAGG